UGGAAUCGCUAGUAAUCGCGGAUCAGCAUGCCGCGGUGAAUACGUUCCCGGGCCUUGUACACACCGCCCGUCACGCCAUGGGAGUUGGUUCUACCCGAAAACGGUGCGCUAACCGCAAGGAGGCAGCCGGUCACGGUAGGAUCAAUGACUGGGGCGAAGUCGUAACAAGGUAGCCGUAGGGGAACCUGCGGCUGGAUCACCUCCUUU
rnacentral:ncRNA from 1 species